rnacentral:sRNA from 1 species
GUUUUCUUCGGAUCCACAUUAGCAAUCCGAAUAGCAGCUUCAAAGGCUUCCACAGAGGGUUUGCAGAGGAUAUGAGUCUGGGAAUUGAAACAUCCACUCUCUGUUAAAUCUGUGAGAACAUGAUUAUCAUUCGGUAAAUCCAUGUAAUUGAUUUGUUUGUUAGGAUUAAGUGUUUCAAAGCAUAUGAUGCCCUCAAAACAAUCUUCCAAACCCAAUCUGUUGAGAACUUUAACUGCAUGUGCGUGAUCUGCAUUGGUGAAUACUAUUUUACGUUGAGGCAUGGAAAGCAGAAUAUUCCUUAAUACUGGAUCAGGUUUCAGUUUCUCGUAUGGUAACCUUCCAUGAACGUAAGCAUGAAACUCGUCGUUGUCAAAUUCAUAACCAAGGAC